GACAAAAUAAAAAUUAAUUUUAUAAAACAAAUAAAAUUAAAAUUUUAAUGUUUAUGUAUUUUUUAAACAAUACCAAACAGAAAAAGGCACACACACAAACACAACCACAACAAUAACAAUAAUCAUCACAAAGUGAUGAAUCUCUGAAACGACCAUUCUCUCUGAAUCGAAAAAGAUUUGUACUUUGUGAUUUGGGUUGACAGUCAGACACCAUGCGAUUUAGAAAAGGAAGCAAAGUCGAGGUGCUGAGUAAGAAAGAAGGGCCUUCAGGCUCCUGGCAAUGUGCUGAGAUAAUAAGUGGUAAUGGUCACAAUUACAAUGUUAGAUAUGAUGGACUAGGGAGUAACACUGUUGUGGAGAGGGUAUCCAGAAAGGAUAUAAGACCUUGCCCACCUCCGAUGGAAGUUUCAGAUGAUUGGGUUUGUGGUGAUGUUGUGGAGGUCUUUAACAAUUUUUCUUGGAAAAUGGCAACAAUUUUAAAGGUUUUAGGAAAGAAGUAUGUUUUGCUCAGGUUGGUUGGAUCUUCUCAAGAAUAUAAAGUCAGUAAAUUGGACAUCCGAGUCAGACAGUCUUGGCAAGAUGAUCAAUGGAUUGUAAUUGGAAAGGGUUCUAGAAAUUAUGAUAAUGGGAAAGAUAAUGAAAAUUUAACUUUAGAGGAAAAUCGAAAUUCAAGCUUCCAAAUUCAGAAGACAAACAUAAGGUUAAGUUCAAGAUUAAGUGGUCACUAUUUUCCUGUAAUGAAAGAACAAAAAUUUCAGGAAUCCCAAUUGUCCUCGUCAAAAUCUCUGAAAAGAGGAUUAUCUUACUGCAAUUCUCAAGCUGAUGUACAUGCCAGAAUAGCUCAGAAACGUAGAAUUGUUGAGAAUGGGGAAAUGUGUCACCGAUUGUUUGCUGCAAAUCAUUCUGUGUUAGCUGAACAGGCAGAUGCUGCUUUACCAAGAGAUAUGCAAGGUGAAAAAGAAUUAACUUCAUUUAACAUCAGAAGAACUGGUUUACCUGAAGUAAGUUUGGAGAAUAAGCGAAUUGGCAAAGUUGGAUAUUCAUUUGCAGUAAAUAGAGAAUCAGACAACGCGAAUAGUAUUGCAAGUUCAGUUGGUAGUUGUAGCAUCAAUUGCAAUAAUUCUUAUUCAUCACCCUGUCCUAUCAGGGAUCUGGAUUAUAACAAAGCUGAAUCUUUUUGUCAUUCGAGACAUGAAGAUGGAAACUGUCUCCUUCCAAGAAAGGAGGAAUUGGCUGAUGAAAUUCAUAGGUUAGAGUUGCAUGCUUACCGUUGUACUAUAGAAGUAUUGCAUGCAUCAGGACCUUUAAGUUGGGAAAAAGAAGAAUUGAUGACUAAUCUCCGACUUUCACUCCAUAUAUCAAAUGAUGAACAUUUGCUGGAACUCAGAAACUUGGUUUCUGCAGAUACCAGCGUACAACUUAGAUGACAGGAAAUAUUUUUACCUUGAAAUUUUCCAUCUAGCUUAGAAUGGGAUUAGUUUUUCUCCAGCAACUUGCUGCAUUAUACCUGGAUUACUCUCUGUGUUGUGAGGAAGCUAUGUCAUGCUAUCUUGUUACAUAAGAAUUUGAGGAAGCUAUGUCAUGCUAUCUUGUUACAUAAGAAUUUCUAAAGGACCCCAUCCUUUAUACAAAUUGGUUAACCAUACCAAUUUGGCUCUAUAAAACUCUCAAAAUGAGGAGAGUUUUGAUGCUUCCCUGCGUUUUACAGGGCUGAAACAUCUUACUCCCUAGCGUCAAAAGACGACAUUGGGCGAUUGCUGCCAUUCUCCCUGGGCAAGUUUUGUGAAACAACUUGUGAUAGAGCCAGGAUUUUCAUUAUGGCUGGAUUGUUGCAGUUCAAGGCACCAAUGAGCCUUAGAUAUCUGUAGCUGAAGAAUAUAAAGCCAGAACUAGUCUUGUGGCUUUGAUCUGGAUGGAGUGACAACAAAAGGUUGAUUUUUUUCUAAAACCUUUGUCUCAGCUCGUAAUAUAGAAUUUUUUUUGCUAUUCUGAUGUCUGCUGUACUUUUCAUCUUCUGCAAAUAUACAGGUAGAGUUUUUUUUUCUUUUGCACUCUCAGUUUCAUGAUGCCUUUCACUUGUACGGUUCCAUUACAUUUCUAUACUCUAGUGCAAACAUCUACUGUAUUACUUUUGAAAUUCAGAAUAAUUGAUACUAUUCUAACUCAAGA